AGCACAUGGAAUCAGUAGUCUGCAUCAAGCGACGCUGCAUUACACUCUUUUCGGAUAAGCUAAUCUAAAUUUUUUGUUGGAUCUUCUCAGAACUAACAGCCGUUAAACAUGCCCGGGUGCUGCCCCCCUUCCUGCGGACCUUGCUGCUCCCCAUCCUGUGGACCGUGUUGUGGACCAUCCUGUGGGCCCUGCUGCAAACCAAGAUGUGGGCCCUGCUGUGGUCCAUGCAACCCAUGCUGUAUGUCAUACUGCCGCCCCGCGUGCUCCCCCUGCUGUCAUCCGUGCUGCCCACCAAAACCCUGCUAGCUAGGUAAAUUUGGUGGCACCACAAUGAAUGUUGUCUACGGAGCAGGUAGUGGCUGUAGUAUCUCGCAGAAGCACAUACCAAAAAGCAAGAUGCACCUGUAAAUCAAAAUAAACUGCUUACCCAUUAA